CUCAACCCAUCCGCCGGCCUCGGCCUCACAAAGUGCUAGGGUUACAGGCGCGAGCCACCGUGCCUGGCCACCUAAAGUCCAUAGUUGAUUCUGAUUGCCUUAGUUUUUGCUUAAUGUCCUUUUUCUGUUCCAGGAUACCACAUGGAGCAUUUUGAGGAGUGCUGGCCAGGUAUUUUGUAGAAUGUUCCUCAACUGGGAUUUGGCAGAUGCUUCUCAUCCUUAGUCUUGGCUUGUGUGUGUUUUGAGGAGGAGGACCACAGAGCUUAAGAAUCAUUCUCAGCACUCUGUAUCAGGCACGCAUUCUCUCAAGAUGACUUGCCGCUAUUGAAGUUGACUUUGAUCACCUGGCUGAGGAUCGACAUUUGUUCAAGAAGCCUGGUUCCUUUUACUGGAGAAUGGUGUUUAUUGGAGAACAGAGACCUGGGCACCAGAGGAGGAUCAGAGGACUUCUGUCCUGAGAUUGCCAGAAAAAUGAUGAACAGAAAAUUAUACACAACCGAACAGGCCCAACUUUCAAAUGGACUGAGAAUGACCCACACAAGUUCCACCGAGGCCAAGGGUGACCUGCAGCCAGCGACAGGGAAAGACUGCCACUUACUGGCGGCCUCCGGAACUGGAAGGAGUGUACUGACAAUUGUAUCUUUCGCAAGCUCUUAACCUUUAUACCGUCAAUAAAAACCCCAUUAACAUUUAAAAGGGAUGUUUCUGGGUGUCCACUUGGAAUAAGAGUUGG